rnacentral:tRNA from 1 species
GCGCUCGUAGCUUAACGGAUAAAGCAUUUGGUUGCGGACCAAAAGACUGGAGGUUCAAUUCCUCCCGGGCGCA